rnacentral:sRNA from 1 species
ACCAGUAUUUGAUCAAGAGUAUGUGAGUAGCUGCUCUCUCCUGCUAGAACCUCCAAACCAGCACUUGAGAAAAUCUUAAGAGGCUGAAGAGAUGUCUCAGC